GGGAAGAAUUGCAGAAGUCAGCAGUAGCUCAUCAGAGCAAAAAGAACUGAAGUUGUAUAAAACCCUUCUAUGGACAAAUCUCAGCUGCAGCCAGGGAAGAGCAGUUUUUUUAUUCCAGAGUGGUCCAGGCCUGUGCAGUUGGCAGAGAUUAAUUACUCCAAAAUAGAGGRCAUCUGAUUGCUUCAAAGUGUAAAUGUUUUAAUGAGAUGGGAAGGAAAAAGAAAUUUUCACAAAUAGUUUUUCCUUAUGAAAAACACUGAUAUGGGAUUUCUGAUCUUGCUGCCACUGAAUUUCAGGUUUUUGUUAAACCUCCCGCUCAGUUUGUAAAGGCAGCGGCACAAAGCUGCAAGUCAAGAGAUGAACUGUUUGCAGCUCCAUUAUUUGCACAGCAGUGCCUCACAGUGAACUCAKUUCAGCACCUUGUGAAAAGCAGCUGAAAAGGGACAGAAGGAACCUGUUGGAUGUUGACAUCUACCUCCCAACUCUCCAAUCCCCUCUCGCCUGUCCUGCCAAAAUGCUGGCGCUCCCCCCGUGCCCGAUUGCAUCAUUCAUUCACGCCGCUGUUAUAAAACAGCCACCAGGGCAGCACAGGCACAAGAUCCUCCUCAUUUUCCGUGCUGGGAAUUUAAAAAAAAAAAAAAAAAAGAAACCCCACGGUGUUACGGAUCUGCAAGGCAAACGCCAACCCCUUCCGACCUGCGAGAAAAGCAAAGCGCGAUGUCAGUGACUUACAGGACUGAACUGUGGCUGCUGCCGCCGCUGGGAACCUCUUGGCUGCGCCGGGCAGGGAGGGAUCAGCUUCAGUCACACAAACCCCACGCACGGGCUGCGCUGGAGCGGAGCCGCAUUUUGCCGCUCAGCCCCUGAUAAAAGUGCUGAAAUUUCUCAGGACAYGACCAUUUGUUUACAACAUCAUCUSUCAGUAACAUCUUGAGUCAGGRUAAGAUGGGACCAAGCCCCUCUGCUGCCAAGCUGGUGCUGUGGAUCAGCAGCCCAGUGCUGUUUGUCAGCUUUAUCGUGGCAGGACAGGAUGUUGUUUAAAGCAGAUUUAGAAAUCAUUUCUGUGAAUAAGGUUAAAGGAAAACCCGUCUUGAUAAAGAUCAAAGAAAAUGGCUUUUACUGAGAAUCUCAGAGGGGUUUUUGCCAAGAUAAGCAGUGCCUGGCUUGACUGAGAGAAUUGCUGCUGAAUAUUUCAUGAAGGAUAUURCCUUUAUUUGGCUUCGUUUAAUGGACAUGUUGGCUUUAAAUUAGUUAAAUAUUUUGAUUCUAACCUGGUGUAAUCCGUUGAAUUCAUAGGGUAAUUUAGUCUGGUAAGCAUUUGCCCUGUAUUUUUAUUACACAUAAAAAACAAAUACACGGAAAAUUUCCACUGCUAAGACUGAAAAAGGAAGAAAAGCUCAUCCUGAAGGCUGAAAAAUGCUGCAAAAUGGGAAUUUAAUGUGAAGACGCUCGUGAGAAAUGUUGCUAUAACACAAAAUAACCACCCUGAGGAAUGUGAGCCAGCAAAGGAAUGCAGAGAGCUCUGCCUGGGAGCUAUAUGAACAAGUUAAGGAAUGAAAUGAUACAAACACAGCACCCAACUUUUGUAUCAUUAUAGAACCUCGCCAUUUGUCAAAAAAAAAAAAAAAAAAAGCAGAGACCACCUGCAUGCAGGACUAGGAUGUCUUUGAAAACAGCUUUUCCUUUUUUGUUUG